GCCGUGCUGACCGAUGUGAGUCAGCAUCUUCAGCUCGGACAUCAGCGCCUCCUUCUCCACCGUCUGGUGUUUCUCUGCAGAGUCAGACAUCACAUCAGCCACCGACAUCACCUCCGCAACAUUCAACAUUUCCCUCGUGGACUCCAGAUUCUCCCUGGGAAACUCCCAUUUCUGGUCGUACUGAAAGUCCUUGAAGUUGAUGUAGAUGUAAUCGUUGUCGCUGGGUCCCACCAUCUGGAUCAUCUGCAGCUGGGGCUGAUACUUGGGUUUCUAUGAGAAGCACGGAGGGGUUUGCACUUAUGAAAUCAUGUGUUCCUUACAAGAGCAACACACUGACUACUGCCAGAGCCAGAAGCAGAAGGAAACUGCCGACUUUCAGCAGAAGCAUGUCGUCGUUCUCUGGAGGCCGGCCACCUAAAAACACAGAAGUUACUAAUGACUUCAGUGUCAUCAAAAAAAAACAAGGAGCCUCCCAGGAGCAGCUCUGGAGCACAGGGUGGUAGGAAAUCUCGGCUUUCAAACAGGAGCUGGACGCCUUCAGCGCUGGAACGAUCUUACUCUCAUUCAACUGGACGGAGAGGAAACCUUCAGCUGAGAAUACACAGAAUACAAAUCAGGACAGAGACGGGUGGUAAACAUGAGACUAAAUAUCAGAGAGAAGUGGAAGCGUUGAGAAUUAUGUAUUGGUGACAGUCAGAUCAGCUCUACUAACCCUGGACGUGGAUGUAGACGGACUUCGUUUUGUUGGUCGGACUCCUGCAGGUGUACAUUCCACCGUCCUCCACACUAACUGACUCGAUGAACAGGUAGGCCAUCUUACUUCCACCAUGGGAGUCAUUUUUAAUGCAGCUCUGCAAACAAAACAUACAAAAAUGAAGUGUGAAAGAACAGUCAUUUCCGAUUUGUGUCUCGCACUAAGGAGUAUUAAAAUAUGAUGGAUUAGUUUUAAAUGCAACUUAAAAGGGAGUGAAUUCACAUUUCUUCACAUGUUAAUUUAAGGAAAAUCUAAUUUGUCUUAGUGGAAUAUCACAUCACCUUCUUCUUGACUGUAGAGGAGCAUCUUAACGUUCCGGUGUUUAGUAGUUUGCCACCUUUCUCCCACUCAGGAAAUGUACGUGAAACCGUUUUUAUCCGAGCUCGAAGGAGUAAAGACUGACCGGGACUCACUGUCACAUUAGAAACCUCAUUGUCCAUUUGCUCGCGUUCUAGAUCUAAAACACACAGUAAACGACACUGAGUCACACGACAGAUUUGACAUUUGAUCAUCUAUUUGAUUUGUUUGAUACAAUAUAUUAAAUCACAAAUAAUCCCUGAA